GUCUAUGACCAUGCUAUCCUGAACAAGCCCGAUCCUGUCUGAUCUAGGAAACUAAGCAGGGUUGGACUUGGUUAGUAAUUGAAUGGGAGACCAACUAGGAAGACCAGGGACUGUAGGCG
ensembl:rRNA 5S_rRNA 5S ribosomal RNA